UGGGGAAUCUUGCACAAUGGAGGAAACUCUGAUGCAGCGACGCCGCGUGAGCGAAGAAGCCUUUCGGGGUGUAAAGCUCUUACGCCAGGGACGAUAAUGACGGUACCUGGAGAAGCAGCUGCGGCUAACUACGUGCCAGCAGCCGCGGUAAUACGUAGGCAGCAAGCGUUGUUCGGAAUUACUGGGCGUAAAGGGUGCUCAGGCGGAUUUGUAAGUCAGAGGUGAAAUCUUACAGCUUAACUGUGAAACUGCCUUUGAUACUGCAAGCCUAGAGUAUGGAAGAGAGUGAUGGAAUAUCUGGUGUAGCAGUGAAAUGCGUAGAUAUCAGAUAGAACACCAAUGGCGAAGGCAGUCACUUGGUCCAUUACUGACGCUAAAGCACGAAAGCGUGGGUAGCAAACA
rnacentral:rRNA from 1 species